AAUCUCUAACUUUUCUCCUUCCCCAAACACUAGCAACCACCACCUCCUUCAAUCUCAAAAACCAAAACCACCACCUUGAUGCAUCCCCACGUAACCAAAUCAUUAAUUACCACACACUCUGCCUCCCCUAAUGUUUCGAAGAAGACUUCUCCACAAAACAAAUCAAAUCCUAGAAUCCAAUCCCUCCCCCUUUGGUGAUGGUGCAGGGGUUCAGUCGCACGACCGCGCGAAGGGUGCUGAUGGUGGUGUGCACCGGCGACGAGGUAGGUGGGAGGUCGCGUGGAGCUGAUCUGGUGGCAGCGUGUGGUGCGAUGACGAUGGUGGUCGAGGAUCUGAUUUGUGAGAAGAUUGCACGCCGUGUUGGUUCAGGGGUCGUUCGCGUAAGUGAUUGGUGACGACGACACGCGACAAUGGUAGUGGCGCGUCGCGCGCGGAGGAGAGAGAGACAAGAGCAAAUCAGUUGGUUUUGUUGUGCUAAGGAGACAGAGAGGCGUAGCGACACAGAACACAUUUUUUACCCAUAUCUAAGAAAAUGAAACCUAGUUUUGUUAGAGAAUCA
rnacentral:lncRNA from 1 species